GAUGAACGCUGGCGGCGUGCCUAAUACAUGCAAGUCGAACGCACAGCGAAAGGUGCUUGCACCUUUCAAGUGAGUGGCGAACGGGUGAGUAACACGUGGACAACCUGCCUCAAGGCUGGGGAUAACAUUUGGAAACAGAUGCUAAUACCGAAUAAAACUUAGUGUCGCAUGACACAAAGUUAAAAGGCGCUUUGGCGUCACCUAGAGAUGGAUCCGCGGUGCAUGAGUUAGUUGGUGGGGUAAAGGCCUACCAAGACAAUGAUGCAUAGCCGAGUUGCGAGACCGAUCGGCCACAGUGGGACUGAGACACGGCCCAAACUCCUACGGGAGGCUGCAGUAGGGAAUCUUCCACAAUGGGCGAAAGCCUGAUGGAGCAACGCCGCGUGUGUGAUGAAGGCAUUCGGGUCGUAAAGCACUGUUGUAUGGGAAGAACAGCUAGAAUAGGGAAUGAUUUUAGUUUGACGGUACCAUACCAGAAAGGGACGGCUAAAUACGUGCCAGCCGCCGCGGUAA
rnacentral:rRNA from 1 species